CAGCGCCUAACGGCAGCGUGAAGGCUGGCUGCAGUCUCCUUAUUUCAAUUCACGGCCACGAGAAGCAAGCCUCAUUUAAAACAAGGAAAACCUACAACCCUGUACAUUUCAGCCAGCGUCCAAGGAAAACCAGGGCGAUUUGGGACCUUCACAAGCGGAAGCAGAAGGAGGCACAGGUAAUUCCGAACGUAAACCCCUCAGCGCUAGAGAGGCUGGCUUUCUAACUGCACUCCUGACGGAGGAGGACAAGAAGCAAAACGCAAUACAUAAUUCCUCCCAUCUAAGUGUUCUGAACAGUUACGUGUACCUGUAGAGAUAAAACUUGUCCUGACCUUGCUGAAUACAAAUGGCCUAGGCUAAACCUGGGAGGGCCCUCUGGGGAGAACCGGGCCGUCAUCACUACCGAGAUGACAGAGGGACCUGUAUGGAGAACCUUUCCAAUUUAAAAACAUCAGCACUGGCCAUGCCCUAUCUGGAAUGUGGAAAUUUGAGUGCUUAAUCGGAACAAAACCUUUCCAAAGACAAAAACAUGCACCUGGCUGCAGGAGUCCACUACUGACCUAACGGUGUACAUGGCUUCCAUAGGACUGCUAACUGAUUCCAAAACAGUUCCACCACAAAGUUUAUGAAGACAGUUCCCUAAGCAAGACCAUGCGGUUACCUACUAACAGGACGUGUGCACCUGCUGGCACCGCACAACUUCUCCAACCUCGCACCCGGGCUGGACGCACGCAUCAUCUCCUGUUCCAGGGGUUCACAUGGUUCUUGCCUUUUAAUCACAGCGACCACUAAAAUCCAGUUUUGUAAAUAUAAGAUGAU